GAUGAACGCUGGCGGCGUGCCUAAUACAUGCCAGUCGAGCGAACAGACGAGGAGCUUGCUCCUCUGACGUUAGCGGCGGACGGGUGAGUAACACGUGGAUAACCUACCUAUAAGACUGGGAUAACUUCGGGAAACCGGAGCUAAUACCGGAUAAUAUAUUGAACCUCAUGGUUCAAUAGUGAAAGACGGUUUUGCUGUCACUUAUAGAUGGAUCCGCGCCGCAUUAGCUAGUUGGUAAGGUAACGGCUUACCAAGGCAACGAUGCGUAGCCGACCUGAGAGGGUGAUUGGCAAGCCUGGAACUGAGACACGGUCCAGACUCCUACGGGAGGCAGCAGUAGGGAAUCUUACGCAAUGGGGGAGAGCGUGACGGAGCAACGUCGCGUGAGUGAUGAAGGUCCUCGGAUCGUAAAACGAUGUUAUUAGGGAGGAACAAAUGUGUUAGUAACUAUGCACGUCUUGACGGUACCUAAUCAGAAAGCCACGGCUAACUACGUG
rnacentral:rRNA from 1 species